GGGGAGGAGGAGGAGGAGGAGGAGGAGAGAGGAGGGGUGGAGACAUGAGUACGUUUCUGUAUUUAUGAUACUAUGAAUCACAGUGUUAGUAUCACAGUGACUAGGCCUAAGAUAAGAUGCCAGGUGAAUGAAGAAUCCAGUGGACAUGCACAGAACAUAGAGAGAGAGGAAGUCCUAGAUGAAAAACCUCUAAAACAAACAGACACAUUACAAUAGGUCUUCUUUUACAGACUGUCUUUGACACACAAGGCCAACACAUCCAAUCGGAGAAAGAAAACAAUCUACCAGCAGUUGAUGAGGAUUGGAGGAAUUGGAGGAAUUUAUCAUUAGAUGAGGAUCAACAAGGUCACCGCCUAUGUACGGAUAGCGUGAGACUGGCUCACAAAACGAGGAAGAAUCAGCUGGGUUGUCUUUAUGAAGUAGGAAGAAUCAGCUGGGUUGUCUUUAUGAAGUAGGAGGAAUCAGGUUUGUUGUCUUUAUGUAGUAGGAGGAAUCAGGUGUGUUGUCUUUAUGAAGUAGGAAGAAUCAGGUGUGUUGUCUUUAUGAAGUAGGAGGAAUCAGGUGUGUUGUCUUUAUGAAGUAGGAGGAAUCAGGUGUGUUGUCUUUAUGUAGUAGGAGGAAUCGGGUGUGUUGUCUUUAUGUAGUAGGAGGAAUCAGGUGUGUUGUCUUUAUGAAGUAGGAAGAAUCAGGUGUGUUGUCUUUAUGAAGUAGGAGGAAUCAGGUGUGUUGUCUUUAUGAAGUAGGAAGAAUCAGGUGUGUUGUCUUUAUGAAGUAGGAAGAAUCAGGUGUGUUGUCUUUAUGAAGUAGGAGGAAUCAGGUGUGUUGUCUUUAUGAAGUAGGAAGAAUCAGGUGUGUUGUCUUUAUGAAGUAGGAGGAAUCAGGUGUGUUGUCUUUAUGAAGUAGGAAGAAUCAGGUGUGUUGUCUUUAUGAAGUAGGAGGAAUCAGGUGUGUUGUCUUUAUGAAGUAGAAUGAAUCAGGUGUGUUGUCUUUAUGAAGUAGGAAGAAUCAGGUGUGUUGUCUUUAUGAAGUAGGAAGAAUCAGGUGUGUUGUCUUUAUGAAGUAGGAGGAAUCAGGUGUGUUGUCUUUAUGAAGUAGGAGGAAUCAGGUGUGUUGUCUUUAUGAAGUAGGAGGAAUCAGGUGUGUUGUCUUUAUGUAGUAGGAGGAAUCAGGUGUGUUGUCUUUAUGAAGUAGGAGGAAUCAGGUGUGUUGUCUUUAUGAAGUAGGAGGAAUCAGGUGUGUUGUCUUUAUGUAGUAGGAGGAAUCAGGUGUGUUGUCUUUAUGAAGUAGGAGGAAUCAGGUGUGUUGUCUUUAUGAAGUAGGAGGAAUCAGGUGUGUUGUCUUUAUGAAGUAGGAGGAAUCAGGUGUGUUGUCUUUAUGUAGUAGGAGGAAUCAGGUGUGUUGUCUUUAUGAAGUAGGAGGAAUCAGGUGUGUUGUCUUUAUGAAGUAGGAGGAAUCAGGUGUGUUGUCUUUAUGAAGUAGGAGGAAUCAGGUGUGUUGUCUUUAUGAAGUAGGAGGAAUCAGGUGUGUUGUCUUUAUGUAGUAGGAGGAAUCAGGUGUGUUGUCUUUAUGAAGUAGGAGGAAUCAGGUGUGUUGUCUUUAUGAAGUAGGAGGAAUCAGGUGUGUUGUCUUUAUGAAGUAGGAGGAAUCAGGUGUGUUGUCUUUAUGUAGUAGGAGGAAUCAGGUGUGUUGUCUUUAUGAAGUAGGAGGAAUCAGGUGUGUUGUCUUUAUGUAGUAGGAGGAAUCAGGUGUGUUGUCUUUAUGAAGUAGGAGGAAUCAGGUGUGUUGUCUUUAUGAAGUAGGAGGAAUCAGGUGUGUUGUCUUUAUGAAGUAGGAGGAAUCAGGUGUGUUGUCUUUAUGAAGUAGGAAGA